AUGGGCUGCCCCUACCUCACUGCUCUCUCCCUUGCAGCUGGUCAUUCACUCAUCCAACUGGAGCAGCCAGCCCAGGUCCGGGGACACAAAGGAAGCUCAGUCUUUCUGCAGUGCUUGAUCCACAUCAGGAUCAACUACAUCCACUGGUACCGGCAGCAGGAGGGCCAGGCCCCCCAGAGACUUCUCUGGAUGAGUGUAUCCAGCAGGAAUGUGCAGUGGGAUUCAGUUCUGAAAGCAGAUAAAAUCACAGGCUUGAAAAACAACGAUGGCAGUCUCUGUUCCCUUUUGGUGCUGAACCUGGCGAAGAGUGACGAGGGCAUAUACUACUGUGCGGCUUGGGACCAGCACAGCCCUGCGUACUAA